rnacentral:lncRNA from 1 species
UGAGUGGGGUUACUCAUUUGGAUAAAAUAUUAAUUCCUUUCGUCAUUAUGGCCAACAUCUCGAUCAUAUUAGCAUAGUCUACCUAGCAACAUGUGUCCUACUUGCAUGGGAAUUACAUCAUAUAAUAUUGUAUCCAUGUACUCACCAAUAAAAAAUGGAACACAUACAUGCUGGUUGACAUCGAUCUCUUUGAUAUCAUCCAACCAGUGUAAUUUAUAGGGGUUAGGAUGUUGUUUACAAAUCAACCCUGUCCAAUCCACCAGCAAGGUAAUAGCAAUGUUAGCACAACUGCCUCCAUUAAUUAUC